UUGAAUCACCAGCUGGCGCUUCCGGCAUUACUAUAGAAGCUGCUGCGCGCCCGGUGCCGGCGUCCUAGGCUGGCAUCCCCUCAGACCGCCGCUGCCCACCCCGCGGUCCGACUGCGCAGCGCGGGCAGGCGAGGAGCCGGAGCGCGACUGCAGGUGGGAGUGUCCCAGGAGUGUCACACAGAAUCCCUGGGGGCUGCUGGGCCUUGUGGCCUGUCUGCCUGCCUGCUGCUCCCUCACCCAGAAUCACAGUCUUGAAUCCACGUGGUUCCCGGUGGUCGUGUGGAACGGUGCGGGGACGCAUCAUAGGCCUGGAGUAACCGACACUCUCUGUCCCUCAGGGACCCCUGUCCCAGCUGGAGCAUGACUCCGGCAAACUAGGAAGCUGGGUGCUCUAUAUUUGAAAGUCCUGCCGGCCAGUGAGCACGUUUCUGGUGAGAAGUUCUCUUGGUGCCUUUAAAGGCGUUUUCUCCUGAUGCAGCUGUGAUUUCUCCACAUAUUUCGUCUGAGAACGAAAUCUACAGGACGAGUGGACAGAAGAAGAAAUGGUCAGCUCUCAGAUUCAGUGGAUAUUUAGGAAGUGGAGCCUUGUCAUCUUCUGUGGAACUGGACAUAAGGGGGCACAUGUGUCUGAGGAGACACCUCUAUACAUACUUUGUGUCUUUUGUAAGCGAGGGACAGCUGACCUUCCGGGACGUGGCUGUAGAAUUCUCUCAGGACGAGUGGGGAUGCCUGAACCACAGUCAGCGGGAACUGUAUGCGGAUGUGAUGCUGGAGACCUAUGGGCACCUCCUCUCCUUGGGUCUCCUUGUAUCGAAACCAGACCUGGUCAUCUUUUUGGAGCACGAGAAGGAGAUGCGGGGUGUGAAGAGACAGGAGACAGUAGCCUCACACCCAGCUAUAUCUUCACCAUGCACCCAGAGUUUCCUGCCCACAUCGUGCUUAGAACAUUCUCUUCAAAAAGUGUCAACGGGACAACAUAGUGCCCUUGAGAAUUUCCACUUACUGAUAGACCCAGUCAACAAUGGGGAGAGUGAAGGGCAUCAAACAUAUCAUGAUGGCCAUAUCCAAACAGAGACAUCUGCCCAUAAGAACAAUCUCACGGUCCGUCGUGGUGAACAAUACACAGUAUUUGGCAAAACUUCCCCUUUUGUGUUAGCUAUUCCUGUCAGGCCGUGUGUUUCAGUAACCAAGAACUCAAAUCAAAUAUUAAAACAUAAAUAUUUGUUGAGAGAAAAAUUUGAAAAUCAGGAAAGUGACCUCAUUCGUGUUGAAAAUAAGUAUUUGACCCAAUUUGAAAAUGGCCUUGGACUGACCUUUCAUUCAAAUGUUUCUGAGAAUCAUAGAUUUAUAACGGAAGAAGAAAGUGUUAGGUGGCAACAACGUGAGGGGCCCCUCAGAAAGAGGUCAGCCCAACAAAAUUAUGAGACGAUUUUGAAUGGACAGAGAAUUGCUGUUUGCAGUGAAUCUGAGACAAAAUUUAACCAGGGCUCCAACAUUAAGAAAUGUCUCCAUAUUCAUUUGCCAGAAAACCAUUUUGAAUGUAAUAAACGUGAGGAAGUCUUGUCUCAAAGACCUAAACAUAUCCUACAGAGGAGUGCGCAUCUGGGAGACAAUCCUUAUAAAUAUAGAGACUGUUUGAACGCUCUGCAGCUGUCCUCCAGUGUUGGUGAUCAUCAGACAACUUGUGUGGGACAAAAGCCAUCCACAUGUAAUAAGUCUGGAAACACAGUUAGUCAGUCGCCGAGACUAAAUAUACAUGAGACAAUUAGUACUGGAGAGAAAAGGUACACUUGUAAGGACCUUGGCCUAGUCUUUCAUUGGCACUCAACACUAUCUCAACAUCAGCAAAUGCAUGCUGGAGACAAGUCCUACAACGAAUGUGGUAAAACCUUUAAGGACUGCUCAUCACAGAAUACCCAAGGGCAAAUCCAUAUUAGAGAGAGACUUGACAAAUGUCAACAAUGUGGCAAGACUUUUAAUAGGGACUCCUACCUUUCUAGACAUCAGAGCAUGCAUAUUGGAGAGAAACCUUACCAAUGUCAAGAAUGCACCCAAGCCUUUAAAGGGAACUCAAACAUCACUUAUCACAGGGUUGACACUGAAGAAAAACCUUACCAAUGUAGAGAAUACGACAAGACCUUCCUCGAGCACUCACACCUUAGUCAACGUCUCGGAAUUCAUUCUGCAGAGAAACCUUACAAAUGUGAACAAUGUGGCAAGGCCUUUACAAGACACUCAAGCCUAACUCAACAUCACAAAAUUCAUACUGGAGAGAAACCUUACAAAUGUGAAGAAUGUGGAAAGGCCUUUCGCCAGCAAUCACACCUUAUUCUACAUCUCAGAAUUCAUACCGGAGAGAAACCUUACACAUGUGAAGAGUGUGGCAAGGCUUUUAGCCAGUACUCAAGCCUUACACUACAUCUCAGAAUUCAUACUGGUGAGAAACCAUACAGAUGUCAAGAGUGUGGCAAGGCCUUUAGCCAGUACUCACGCCUUACUCUACAUCUCAGAAUUCAUACCGGUGAGAAACCAUACAAAUGUGAAGAGUGUGGCAAGACCUUUAUUAACCACUCAAGCCUUACUCGACAUCUCAUUAUUCAUACUGGAGAGAAACUUUACAAAUGUGAACAUUGUGGCAAAGCCUUUACCAAGAAGUCAGUCCUUACUGUACAUCACAGAAUUCAUACUGGUGAGAAACCUUACAAAUGUGAACAAUGUGACAAGUCGUUUAUAAAUCACUCAAGCCUUACUGUACAUCUCAGAAUUCAUACUGGAGAGAAACCUUACAAAUGUCAAGAGUGUGGCAAGUCCUUUAUAAAUCACUCAGGCCUUACUGUACAUCUCAGAAUUCAUACUGGAGAGAAACCUUACAAAUGUGAACAAUGUGGCAAGGCCUUUACAUACCACUCAAGCCUAACUCAACAUCACAGAAUUCAUACUGGAGAGAAACCAUACAGAUGUGAAGAAUGUGGCAAGGCCUUUAGCCAGCACUCCAUCCUUUCUGUACAUCACAGAGUUCAUACUGGAGAGAAACCUUACAAAUGUGAGGAAUGUGGCAAGGCCUUUCGCCUGCAGUCACACCUUAGUCAACAUCACAGAAUUCAUACUGGAGACAAACCUUACAGAUGUGAACAAUGUGGCAAGGCCUUUUACAGGCAAUCACAGCUUAUUCGACAUCACAGAGUUCAUACUGGAGAGAAACCUUACAAAUGUCAAGAAUGUGGCAUGGCCUUUAGCCAGCACUCAAUCCUUACUAACCAUCACAGAGUUCAUACCUUAGAGAAACCUUACAAAUGUGAACAAUGUGGCAAGGCCUUUCGCCUGCAGUCACACCUUAGUCAACAUCUCAGAAUUCAUACUGGAGAGAAACCUUACAAAUGUCAAGAAUGUGGCAAGGUCUUUAUCAAGCCAUCACACCUUAAUCAGCAUCUCAGAAUUCAUACUGGAGUGAAACCGUACAAAUGUCAAGAAUGUGGCAAGGCCUUUCCCUGGCUGUCGAAACUUAACAGACAUCACAGAAUUCAUACACCAUCCAUCCUUCAGGGACCCCUGGAGGGGGUGGAGUGCGACUCUGGCAAGUGGCGCCCGAACGGGUACCUGAAGUGGAGCUCAUAGGAAUUUGCCAGGCCCCUUAGCUCAAGGAAAUCAUCAGGCUGAUUCGCUUACUAGGGCUGCUGAUUCUUCAGCCCUGGAAGAAGCCCGCUUAUGCCAUGAAUUACAUCAUCAAAAUGCCUCUGCACUCAUCUCCAACGUAAUAUCUCUAGGGAAGCCGCUCGAGAAGGAGUCCGCCUCUGUAAGUAAUACCCCACUCAUUUUCCAUCCCUACCCUCUGGGGUCAGCCCAAGAGGUCUGAGACUCUGAUUUAUGGCAAAUGGAUGCUGCGUACGUACCAUCCCUUGGAAAACUUUGUUAUGUUCGUGGAUGUGUUGAUACAUUUUCUCAUAUCGUCACUUCUGCCCAUAUAGGCGAAGGUUACAGAGAUGUAUUUCAACAUCUUUUCUUUAGCUUUUCCUGUUUGGAGAUUCUGAAAGCUAUCAAACUGACAAUGCACCAGCUUACACUUCUAUCGCUUUCAAAAGGUUUACUCAACCUUUCAAGAUUUUUCAUGCCACAGGAAUUCCUUACAAUCCCCAAGGACAAGAAAUUGUUGAGAGUACACAUCAGAUCCUAAAGGAUCAAAUGAAAAAAUUACAAGAAGGGGAGUUUAAGGGUAGCUGUCCACAUCACAUCCUCUCCCAUGCUUUGUUUGUCAUUAAUAACGUAAAUAUAGAUAUUACCAACUGUACCAAUAUGUGUGAGUUUUGGAAUCCAGCCUUAGAGUAACCUUAGACCUUGGUAAGGUGGAAAGAUUCACUUACUGGCCAAUAGAAGGGACCCGGUGGUGUACUAACCAGAGGACUAGGCCAUGCUUGUGUCUAUCCACAGGAUGCAGACCGCCCUCUGGAUUCCAGAUCAUUUAGUUGGACACUAUGUCGAGCCCUCCAACUCCUCCCUCGACUCCGCAGCCUCCUCUGCCAUACUGGGCCACAAACCCCAGAAAGAAUGAGGAGAAACUAUCAAAUCCUCAACCCCCUGCCUCCUACAGACACAUGAAUAGUAGGGACACUCACUCAGACCAUGAGUGAGCUCUCCUUGCAGAAAGAUUGUCCCCAUCGCUGCUGCUGACUCGCCCAAUCUACAUGGGGCUCCACUCAUACAUGAGGACAAUUAAAAUCCCUGGCAGAUGAGGCUAUUGCCCUUGUUGAAACUCAGGGAGCCACAGUCACUCCAGCUACACUGUUUGUAGCUCUUCUUGCAUUAUUGUGUUCUCAGGCCCAUAUGGGCUAUGCCCUUAAACAACAGUAUUGGGCUUCUAUCCCAAACCCUCCUAUGUUAAAGCUUGUAACGUGGGCAAAUGAGCUUUUUUCUGUUCUUACUAAUAACCUAAAUUUACUCGGUGGCAGCACAGAUGAUGAGUUCUUGAUGUCUCAAAUCAAUCCUCAUUUUUCCUAUAUCAGAAUAUGCAGUUCUCCCAUUUGGUUUUCUUAUGAUCAUGCUCUUAAGGGAUGCCUUCCCGUUUG